UUUCUGUGCAUGAACUGCGAGAAGAGUUGGCUCAGAUGUUUGGAAUUGAGGGGAAGUUAGAAGACCCUCUUAGAUCAGGCUGGCAGCUUGUAUUCGUCGACAGGGAGAAUGAUAUUCUUCUCCUUGGGGACGAUCCGUGGGAAUCAUUUGUCAACAAUGUUUGGUAUAUCAAAAUACUUUCACCUGAAGAUAUUCAAAAGAUGGGAGAUCAAGGCGUAGAAUCUCGCGACAGUGCUCCCGGCCUACCAUCAAUAGGCGAUUACUGAGAUAUUGAAAACUAUCCCUUCAAUUCCCACGGUCAUGACAUAAGUAUCACAUGCUUUGAACACUACUUUUAGACCAGAACUUGCAUAUCUAGAUAUGUUCUGUAUUAUCUAUCUGUUCCACUUUCACCAUCUUUAUUACUUGGAGAGUUGAUAAAAUUUAUGAUAAGAAACUUAGGACAAACUAUUUUUGUUUAAUCAAGAGAAUCUCAGGACAAAGAUUUGUUCUACUAGUUUGUAACUUAUGUACUGAAAGCUAGAAAUGUUAGUAUUAUUAUUAUCACUACUGUACUAUUUGGUAACUCUCUUGCAUGAGCUAAUUUUGUAGAAAGAAAUCUAGAGAAUGCUGAAAGGUUAGGUUA